AUUGAACGCUGGCGGCAUGCCUUACACAUGCAAGUCGAACGGCAGCACGGACUUCGGUCUGGUGGCGAGUGGCGAACGGGCGAGUAAUGUAUCGGAACGUACCUUUCAGUGGGGGAUAACGUAGCGAAAGUUACGCUAAUACCGCAUAUUCUGUGAGCAGGAAAGCAGGGGAUCGAAAGACCUUGCGCUGAUUGAGCGGCCGAUAUCAGAUUAGCUAGUUGGUGGGGUAAAGGCCUACCAAGGCGACGAUCUGUAGCGGGUCUGAGAGGAUGAUCCGCCACACUGGAACUGAGACACGGUCCAGACUCCUACGGGAGGCAGCAGUGGGGAAUUUUGGACAAUGGGGGCAACCCUGAUCCAGCCAUGCCGCGUGAGUGAAGAAGGCCUUCGGGUUGUAAAGCUCUUUCGGCCGGGAAGAAAUCGCAUAGGCUAAUACCCUGUGUGGAUGACGGUACCGGAAUAAGAAGCACCGGCUAACUACGUG
rnacentral:rRNA from 1 species